UACAGAGGGGGCAAGCGUUGUUCGGAAUUACUGGGCGUAAAGGGCGCGUAGGCGGCCUUCUAAGUCGAACGUGAAAUCCCCGGGCUCAACCCGGGAACUGCGUCCGAUACUGGCAGGCUUGAAUUCGGGAGAGGGAUGUGGAAUUCCAGGUGUAGCGGUGAAAUGCGUAGAUAUCUGGAGGAAUACCGGUGGCGAAGGCGGCAUCCUGGACCGGCAUUGACGCUGAGGAGCGAAAGCUAGGGGAGCAAACGGG
rnacentral:rRNA from 1 species